rnacentral:rRNA from 1 species
UCCACCCGUUCCCAUUCCGAACACGGAAGUUAAGCUCUCCAGCGCCGAUGGUACUGCAUGGGAGACUGUGUGGGAGAGUAGGUCGCUGCCGAUU